AAACCUUGAAGUUAAGUGAUUGCUUAAACCUUGUGAGUCUUCAGGUCGGUAUUUGUAGUUUGAGCUCUCUUCAAACUCUUUUGAUGGAUGGGAGUUUAGAACUAAAGGCCUUUCUAGAUAUCAAUAUUGGAAGUCUAAAAGCCCUUGAAUGGUUAGAUUUGUCAUAUUGCGAAAACCUUGAGAGUCUUCCGGAUAGUAUUUGUAGUUUGACCUCUCUUCAAACUCUUUUGCUGAAUGGGUGUUCAAAACUGAAAGCCUUUCCAUACAUCAAUAUUGGAAGCCUCAAAGCUCUUGAAUUGUUAGCUUUGUCAUAUUGCGAAAACCUUGAGAGUCUUCCGGACAGUAUUUGUAAUUUGACAUCUCUUCAAACUCUCAUGUUAAAAGAGUGUUCAAAAUUGAAGGGCUUUCCAGAUAUCAAUAUUGGAAGUCUAAAAGCUCUUAAAUUGUUAGAUUUGUCAUAUUGCGAAAACCUGACAGUAUUUGUAGUUUGACCUCUCUUCAAACUCUUUUGCUGAAUGGGUGUUCAAAAUUGAAGGCUUUUCCGGAUAUUAAUAUUGCAAAUCUAAAAGCUCUUGAAUUGUUAGAUUUUUCAUAUUGUGAAAACUUUGGGAGUCUUCCAGAUAGGAUUUGUAGCUUAACCUCUCUUCAAACUCUUUUGUUGAAAAAGUGUUCAAAAUUGAAGGCCUUUCCAGAUAUCAAUAUUGGAAGUCUAAAAGCUCUUAAAUUGUUAGAUUUGUCAUAUUGCGAAAACCUUAAGAGUCUUCCAGACAGUAUUUGUAGUUUGACCUCUCUUCAAACUCUUUUUUUGAAUGGGUGUUCAAAAUUGAAGGCCUUUCCAGAUAUCAAUAUUGGAAGUCUAAAAGCUCUUGAAUUGUUAGAUUUGUCAUAUUGCAAAAACCUUGAGAGUCUUCCGCAUAGUAUUUGUAGUUUGACCUCUCUCCAAACACUUUUGUUGAAUGGGUGUUCAAAACUGAAGGCCUUUCCAGAUAUCAAUAUUGGAAGUCUAAAAGCUCUUAAAUUGUUAGAUUUGUCUUAUUGCAUAUACCUUGAGAGUCUUCCGCACAGUAUUUGUAGUUUGACCUCUCUUCAAACUCUUUUGUUGAAUGGGUGUUCAAAAUUGAAGGCCUUUCCAUGUAUCAAUAUUGGAAGUCUAAAAGCUCUUAAAUUGUUAAAUUUGUCAUAUUGCGAAAACCUUGAGAGUCUUCCGGAUAGUAUUUGUAAUUUGACCUCUCUUCAAACUCUUUUGCUGAAUGGGUGUUCAAAACUGAAGGCCUUUCCAGAUAUCAAUAUUGGAUGUCUAAAAGCCCUUGAAUUGUUAGACUUCUCAUAUUGCAAAAACCUUGAGAGUCUUCCGCACAGUAUUUGUAGUUUGACCUCUCUUCAAACUCUUUUGCUGAAUGGGUGUUCAAAACUAAAGGCUUUUCCAGAUAUCAAUGUUGGAAGUCUAAAAGUUCUAGAAUUGUUAGAUUUGUCAUAUUGCGAAAGCCUUGAGAGUUUUCCGGACAGUAUUUGUAGUUUGACCUCUCUUCAAACUCUUUGGCUGAAUGGGUGUUCAAAACUGAAGGUCUUUCCAGAUGUCAAUAUUGGAAGUCUAAAAGCUCUUGAAUUGUUAGAUUUGUCAUGUUGUAAAAAGCUUGAGAGUCUUCCGAUGAGCAUUUGCAAUUUGAGCUCUCUCAAAACUCUGCGGAUUAAAGAUUGUCCAAAACUCAAGGGAAUAUUAAAGAUGAACCUAGGGGUUGAUUUAUGCUCCUCGAGAUCUUUGAAUCUGACUUGUCACAUUUCAAAUUCAGGAGUAAUCUGGGAUAAUGACUGCUUUUCCUCAUUAAAAGCAUUAAAUCCAUGGUGCCCCCUGUCAUCACUGGUAGAAUUAUCUGUAAGAAACUCUAAUCUCAUGGAACGAGACAUCCUCAGUGCUAGUUUUCGCUUAUCCUCAAUGCAAAUAUUAUCUCUAAGGAACUUCCCUUUGAUGGUAGGAGGAAUCCUUGAUGACAUUUUCCAUCUAUCUUCAUUGGUAGAAUUAUCUCUUAGUGAAUGCAAUCUGAUGGAAGUAGGAACCCUCCAUUAUGUUUGGAACCUAUCUUCACUGCUAAGAUUAUAUCUAAGAAACUGUAAUCUAAUGGAAGGAGAGAUCCCCAAUCAUAUUUGGCACCUAUCAUCAUUG
rnacentral:lncRNA from 1 species